GGGUCAGUAGGUUGGUCGUGCCACCGGUACGUACUGGUCUCGCUGAUCCCUCCUUCCUGAAGAACCGUAAUGCCAUUAAUUUGGUGUUGCGGGGAAACAGGACUGUUACUUUGAAAAAAUUAGAGUGUUUAAAGCAAGCUAACGCUUGAAUACAUUAGCAUGGAAUAAUGAAAUAGGACGAUCGAUCCUAUUUUGUUGGUUUCUAGGAUUGACGUA
rnacentral:rRNA from 1 species